GGAGCGGCCUCGGUCUGACUCAGACGAGGCUAUAUAGGGAGCUGCAUCGGAGACGGUUAGUUCUUUUACGGCGGGACUUGGGAGUUGUUCUUUGGGCGCCAGGAACAAUGGCGCUGGCGCUCUUCGGUGUGUGUGAGCAGUUCUGUGUAGAUGCUGAGGUGCAGGAGAAAAUUCCAAAACAUCUGGAAGAUACUUAAUGGAAGAUUACUUGGAUAAAGGCUGACCGACUACCAGUUGCCUGGAUGUUGCUGAAUGCUAAUGAAGCUAUAGCCAUGCCACUUCAUUUUGAUUGCAGGUCGCUGUCUUCCCAUUGAAAGGACAGCUUGCUGAAAGUGCAGCCAUUUCUGGCUAAUCCUGGAAGCUUAUCUGUAUGAAAAGCUAUUGAAGAAAAACAUCCAGAAAGAAAAGGUGGACAUGAAAAGAAAACUUAGUUUUGGAUUCUACUUUUUAUGGGCUUUUUGUUUCCUUUGUAAACAGACUGAAACAGUGGGGUUUUCUUAAUGAAAGGUUGUCUUCAGCUAACUAGCCCUGUAAACAAAUAUUCUGAAUAUGACUAUUUCAUAUUUAGUCACCUGUUUGUCUUUAAAAUAUUUGUAAUUAAAAUAAUAUUGAGUUAAAUUUAUAA